UUUCCGUAGGUGAACCUGCGGAAGGAUCAUUAUCGUACAAAAUGUGAGGGGCAUGCGAGGGCUGUCGCUGACCAAAAGUCGUGCACGCCCGAGGGUGUCCUCUUGCAUAAUAAUCCAUCUCACCCUUUGUGCAUCACCGCGUGGGCACCCUUCGGGAUCAUCUCGGAGGGGGGCUCGCGUUUUCACACAAACCCCCCUUUUAAAAGUGUAGAAUGACCACAUUUAUGCAAUCAAUACAACUUUCAACAACGGAUCUCUUGGCUCUC
rnacentral:misc_RNA from 1 species